AAAGAAGCCUAACUAACAUAUACUGGGUGUAUGUAUUGACCAAGCAAUUUAUUUUUUUUUUUUUAAAAAAAAAAAAAAAAAAAAAAAAAAAAAAAAAAUCAUCGAAUCUUCUGCUUGCAGGUAAAAGAUUACUAAACACUACUAGUACUAGGGUGUUAUCAUUCUAAUCAACGGAUAUAAGUUAAUGUCACUAGUAGUUAUGUUUAUCAAAUUGGUUAUUUGAACGCAAUUAUUAAGUUAACCGUUCGAUAUCACGCACGAAACAGAAUGAUGAUGAUGAUGAUGCAAAAAUCAAUAAACAAAACCAAAACCAAAAGCAGAAGGGGGAAUAAGAUUGACUUGAGGCAUGCAUUUCCAAUUAGCAACAAAAGGAAGGAAGAGGUGUGAAAACGAGUAGUUAUGUGAAAUGUACUAGCAUUGAACAAAGGAUGCAAAACUAACUAAUAUAAUAGCGGCAGAAGCAGCAAUGAAUGAUAUGAAAUAAGGAAAUAUUGAUCAAAAUAAAAAUAUAAAAGAAAAGGAGCCGAG
rnacentral:sRNA from 1 species